rnacentral:rRNA from 1 species
CAAGUCGAGCGGUAAGGCUCUGCACUUAGUAUUGGAUUGCAACAACCUCGGUUGUUAUAGCGGACUAACUCAAACCUGGCUAGGAAUGAGAAGGAACGGGAAGAUCAAAUAUUGGGUGUAGAGUACACGAGCGGCGGACGGCUGAGUAACACGUAGGAACGUACCCCAAACUGAGGGAUAAGCACCAGAAAUGGUGUCUAAUACCGCAUGUGCUCUAAGGAGUAAAGCUUCGGCGGUUUGGGAACGGCCUGCGUAUGAUUAGUUUGUUGGUGAGGUAAUGGCUUACCAAGACUACGAUCAUUAGCUGGUCUGAGAGGAUGACCAGCCAGACUGGAACUGAGAACGGUCCAGACUCCUACGGGAGGCAGCAGUAGGGAAUUUUCCACAAUGGGGGCAACCCUGAUGGAGCAACGCCGCGUGCAGGAUGAAGGUCUUCGGAUUGUAAACUGCUUUUAUCUGUGACGAAUAUGACGGUAGCAGAUGAAUAAGGAUCGGCUAACUCCGUGCCAGCAGCCGCGGUCAUACGGGGGAUCCAAGCGUUAUCCGGAAUUACUGGGCGUAAAGAGUUGCGUAGGUGGCAUUGUAAGUUGGUAGUGAAAGCGUUCGGCUCAACCGGAUACACAUUACCAAAACUGCAAAGCUAGAGGAUGAGAGAGGUUAUUGGAAUUCCCAGUGUAGGAGUGAAAUCCGUAGAUAUUGGGAGGAACACCGAUGGCGUAGGCAGAUAACUGGCUCAUUCCUGACACUAAGGCACGAAAGCGUGGGGAGCAAACGGGAUUAGAUACCCCGGUAGUCCACGCCGUAAACGAUGGAUGCUAGCUGUAAGAGGUAUCGACCCCUCUUGUAGCGAAGCUAACGCGUUAAGCAUCCCGCCUGUGGAGUACGGUCGCAAGACUAAACAUAAAGGAAUUGACGGGGACCGCACAGC